AGGAUGCACGCUGGCGGUCUGCUUAACACAUGCAAGUCGAACGGGCGUAGCAAUACGUUAGUGGCGGACGGGUGAGUAACGCGUGAGAAUCUACCUUCAGGACGGAGACAACAGUUGGAAACGACUGCUAACCCCCGAUGUACUGAAAAGGCAAAUAUUUAUAGCCUGAAGAAGAGCUCGCGUCCGAUUAGCUAGUUGGAGAGGUAAAAGCUCACCAAGGCGACGAUCGGUAGCUGGUCUGAGAGGACGAUCAGCCACACUGGGACUGAGACACGGCCCAGACUCCUACGGGAGGCAGCAGUGGGGAAUUUUCCGCAAUGGGCGAAAGCCUGACGGAGCAAGACCGCGUGGGGGAAGAAGGCUCGUUGGGUUGUAAACCCCUUUUCUCUGGGAAGAAAGUUGUGAAAGCAGCCUGACGGUACCAGGAGGAAUCAGCAUCGGCUAACUCCGUGCCAGCAGCCGC
rnacentral:rRNA from 1 species